AUACAUAGGGGACAAGCGUUAUCCGGAUUGACUGGGCGUAAAGGGCGCGUAGGUGGCCUUAUAAGUCAGGUGUGAAAGGUAUCGGCUCAACCGAUAAAUUGCACUUGAAACUGUGAGGCUUGAGUAUUGGAGAGGCAAGUGGAAUUCCUAGUGUAGCGGUGAAAUGCGUAGAAAUUAGGAGGAACACCGGUGGCGAAGGCGGCUUGCUGGACAAAUACCGACACUGAGGCGCGAAAGCGUGGGUAGCGAACAGGAUUAGAUACCCUGGUAGUCCACACUAUAAACGAUGAAUGCUAGGUGUAGGAGGUAUCUUCCCCUUCUGUGCCGCAGUAAACACAGUAAGCAUUCCGCCUGGGGAGUACGGUCGCAAGAUUAAAACUCAAAGGAAUUGACGGGG
rnacentral:rRNA from 1 species